rnacentral:rRNA from 1 species
CUCCAGACUCCUACGGGAGGCAGCAGUGGGGGAUAUUGCACAAUGGGGGAAACCCUGAUGCAGCGACGCCGCGUGGGCGAAGAAGUAUUUCGGUAUGUAAAGCCCUAUCAGCAGGGAAGAAGAAAUGACGGUACCUGAGUAAGAAGCACCGGCUAAAUACGUGCCAGCAGCCGCGGUAAUACGUAUGGUGCAAGCGUUAUCCGGAUUUAUUGGGUUUAAAGGGUGCGUAGGCGGGUUAUCAAGUCAGCGGUAAAAUCGUGGAGCUCAACUCCAUCCAGCCGUUGAAACUGAUGAUCUUGAGUGGGCGAGAAGUAUGCGGAAUGCGUGGUGUAGCGGUGAAAUGCAUAGAUAUCACGCAGAACUCCGAUUGCGAAGGCAGCAUACCGGCGCCCGACUGACGCUGAAGCACGAAAGCGUGGGUAUCGAACAGGAUUAGAUACCCUGGUA